rnacentral:lncRNA from 1 species
ACCUCUUCCACCUCUGCCACCACUGAGGCAGCAAGACCAACCCCUCUUCUUCCUCCUCCUCAGCUUACUCAAGGUGAAGACAAGGAUGAAGCGUUUUAUGAUGAUCACUUCUACUUAAUGAAUAUGAGCUGCCAUGUUAGAGAGGCCCACAUGGCCAGGAACUGAGGGUGGCCUCCGCCAACAGCCGACCAGGAACUGAAGCCCUUGGUCCAGCAGCCUGUAAGAAACUGAAUCCUGCCACCAACUGCUUAGAAGCGGAUCAGUGCCCAGUUGAACCUUGACUGCAGCUGGGUAAGUCUCCCAGCGAAGCCAUGCCCGGAUUCCCAACACACAGAAACUGGGAGAUCAUACACGCGUGUGGUUUGAAACCACUAAAUGUUGGGGUAAUCUGUUACAAAGCAAUAGAUACUGAAUUCAACUCUGAUAAUAAAAGUCCCAUUACAUAAAAAGCAG